GCUAGACUCUGUAAGAAUGAAUCCCAGAAAAGCUGGAACUCUCAAUCCAAGCAUAUUUCUGAAGCAGUCCAGUCAAGAACAGCGUUUUCAUUUUCUUUCUAUGGGGCAUUUCUUGUUUGUCCUAGGAUGAAGUUGAAGUGUGGCUGGGGAUGAAGGAAGAGCAGCUUUAUUUUGCUCCGAGAGAACUAACAACUCCUUCACCACUUUACCUUGGGCCAGAGCUACUUAGAAAAUGCUCAAUCUAUUUUUACCUUUCUAUACGUGUAUUUAAUAGAGAUACCAUUUUAUUCGAAAAUUACCGAAAACAUGAGCUGACGCUCUCUCAGCGGUGACUCACUGUGAACCGGACGUUUCCCUAGGGGCAUAGCUGUCCCCAGGGAGAAACCUCCUCUGAGCUGUAUGUUCUAAUGUGGGGCAUGCCUUACUAUAGGACCAAAAGAAUUGUGACAACAUUCAGGGAGGUUCCCUGUCUACAUCCUGAAUUCCGAACAUUAUUACAUGCACCAUGGCUUUGAACUCUGUUUAUUUGACCUCUUUAAGUUCAAGUAGCCAAUGAUCGAGGCAACAAAUAGGAGUGGCCCUGAGAUGAUUCGAAGAUGUCGGGUACACCCAGGAUGAAUGAGGAGCAGUCGAUUCACAUUUAGGAUCCACAAGGACCUCCUGGAUAACUGCCUCAACGCUUUGAUACUCUUGAAUAGACACGUGGCCAAAAGUUACAAAACUGAGUUUUGGAAAUCUCUUUUACAAGUCCCGCAUAGUGAUCUUCCUGUGGUGGGUCAGAGAAGCGGACAUCUGGUAUAGUGGUGACCUCGUUGAAUCUGAAACAGAAAGAGCUGCACUUAGAAUCCACUUACAAGUAUAGACCUUAGGAUGUCUUCAGCUGCAAGUGGUAGAAAAUCCUAACUGGCAUUGAUACAAAUAAUAAGGGGCUUAAUAUUUCACGUAAGAAGCACCCAAGGAGGGCAGCUCUAGGCCCAUCAGGGCGUCAGCUCAUUUCUGUGAUUUUCAUGGCUUCAUGUGUUGGUUUCAUCCUGAGACUGGCUGCAAGAUGGCUGUAGCAACCACUGACGAAUUGUGUGGACAGAACAGGGGCUGCUGAUCAUGGUGCAGAAGUUGCCCCAAGGACAUCUUCUCAAGUCCCAUUGGCCAGAAUAGGGAUAUAUGCCCUCCCUUGAACCAGCCGCCUACGAGGAGAAUGGGAUUGCCACGAUGAGCUCAGUCUUAGGAUGUCUACCUCCUGCAUACUUCCCGAGCGUGUCCAGAGUGAGUUGAGAUGAUCAGCUCUACUGCCCCGACCACCCCCGAAUACAGACCCGGGGAGAGCCUGUGCCAGCUCACACGGGACUAAUCAGGUAAACUAGAGCCACUUUACACUCUUUAAGGCUCCCGCCCUGCUUCCACUCUAAGGAAGCCAAAUGAGGGAGGGAGAAGCAGCAGCACCAGCCGGUGUUAUUUUGAAGGUAUACUGACUCCUGUGCAUUUAGAGGAGGGUCUGAUAACCAA
rnacentral:lncRNA from 1 species